GAGAUGAGAAGUAGAGUAGAGAUGAGAAGUAGUAGAGAUGAGAAGUAGUAGAGAUGAGAAGUAGUAGAGAUGAGAAGUAUAGUAGAGAUGAGAAGUAGAGUAGAGAUGAGAAGUAGAGUAGAGAUGAGAAGUAGUAGAGAUGAGAAGUAUAGUAGAGAUGAGAAGUAGUAGAGAUGAGAAGGAGUAGAGAUGAGAAGUAGUAGAGAUGAGAAGUAGAGUAGAGAUGAGAAGUAGUAGAGAUGAGAAGUAGAGUAGAGAUGAGAAGUAGUAGAGAUGAGAAGUAGUAGAGAUGAGAAGUAGUAGAGAU